AGCGAACGCUGGCGGCAGGCCUAACACAUGCAAGUCGAACGGACCCUUCGGGGUUAGCGGCGGACGGGUGAGUAACACGUGGGCAACCUGCCUGUAAGACUGGGAUAACACCGGGAAACCGGUGCUAAUACCGGAUAAUCCUUUUCCUCUCAUGAGGAAAAGCUGAAAGUCGGUUUCGGCUGACACUUACAGAUGGGCCCGCGGCGCAUUAGCUAGUUGGUGAGGUAACGGCUCACCAAGGCGACGAUGCGUAGCCGACCUGAGAGGGUGAUCGGCCACACUGGGACUGAGACACGGCCCAGACUCCUACGGGAGGCAGCAGUAGGGAAUCUUCCACAAUGGACGAAAGUCUGAUGGAGCAACGCCGCGUGAGCGAUGAAGGCCUUUGGGUCGUAAAGCUCUGUUGUUAGGGAAGAACAAGUACCGGAGUAACUGCCGGUACCUUGACGGUACCUAACCAGAAAGCCACGGCUAACUACGUGUCAGCAGCCGCGGUAACAC
rnacentral:rRNA from 1 species